UUGGAGGGCAAGUCUGGUGCCAGCAGCCGCGGUAAUUCCAGCUCCAAUAGCGUAUAUUAAAGUUGUUGCAGUUAAAAAGCUCGUAGUUGAAUUUCGGGAUCAGAGUGUCGGUCGUGCCUCGGUACGCACUGGUAUUAUUGGUUCCUACCUUCUGAAGAACCGCGAUGUCAUUAAUUUGGUGUCGUGGGGAAUCAGGACUGUUACUUUGAAAAAAUUAGAGUGUUUAAAGCAGGCUUACGCUUGAAUACAUUAGCAAGGAAUAAUGAAAUAGGACGUUUGAUUCUAUUUUGUUGGUUUCUAGGAUUGACGCAAUGAUUAAUAGGGAUAGUUGGGGGCAUUAGUAUUCAAUUGUCAGAGGUGAAAUUCUUGGAUUUAUUGAAGACUAACUACUGCGAAAGCAUUUGCCAAGGAUGUUUUCAUUAAUCAAGAACGAAAGUUAGGGGAUCGAAGACGAUCAGAUACCGUCGCAGUCUUAACCAUAAACUAUGCCGACUAGGGAUCGGAUGAUGUUAAUUUUUUAAUGACUCAUUCGGCGCCUUACGGGAAACCAAAGUGUUUGGGUUC
rnacentral:rRNA from 1 species